UCAGCGGGAGGGCCGCGAUGGAGGUCCCGCCCCGGCUCUCCCAUGUGCCGCCGCCAUUGUUCCCCUCCGCUCCCGCUACUUUAGCCUCCCGCAGCCUUUCCCAUUGGCGGCCGCGGGCGCCGCGGCAGCUCGCCCCGCUCCUCCCUUCGCUCGCUCCCAGCUCCGCCCGGCAGGGGGCGCGCCGGGCCCAGCGCCACGUCACCGCGCAGCAGCCCUCGCGAUUGGCGGGCGGGGCGGCUAUAAAGGGAGGGCGCAGGCGGCGCCCGGAUCUCUUCCGCCGCCAUUUUAAAUCCAGCUCCAUACAACGCUCCGCCGCCGCUGCCGCCGCGACCCGGACUGCGCGCCAGCACCCCCCGGCCGACAGCUCCGCCGCCAUGGAGGACAUGAACGAGUACAGCAACAUAGAGGAGUUCGCAGAGGGAUCCAAGAUCAACGCGAGCAAGAACCAGCAGGAUGACGGUAAAAUGUUCAUUGGAGGCUUGAGCUGGGAUACAAGCAAGAAGGAUCUGACUGAGUAUUUGUCCCGGUUUGGGGAAGUGGUGGACUGUACGAUUAAGACCGACCCGGUGACCGGAAGAUCGAGAGGAUUCGGAUUCGUGCUCUUCAAAGACGCUGCUAGUGUCGACAAGGUGUUGGAACUGAAAGAACACAAACUGGAUGGCAAAUUGAUAGACCCCAAAAGGGCCAAAGCUUUAAAAGGGAAAGAACCGCCCAAAAAGGUGUUUGUGGGUGGAUUGAGCCCAGAUACUUCGGAAGAACAAAUUAAAGAAUAUUUUGGAGCCUUUGGAGAGAUUGAAAAUAUUGAACUUCCCAUGGAUACAAAAACAAAUGAAAGAAGAGGAUUUUGUUUUAUCACAUAUACAGAUGAAGAGCCAGUAAAGAAAUUAUUAGAAAGCAGAUAUCAUCAAAUCGGUUCUGGGAAGUGUGAAAUCAAAGUUGCACAACCCAAAGAGGUAUACAGGCAGCAACAGCAGCAACAAAAAGGAGGAAGAGGUGCUGCAGCUGGUGGACGAGGUGGCACUAGGGGUCGUGGACGAGGUCAGGGCCAAAACUGGAACCAAGGAUUUAAUAACUAUUAUGAUCAAGGAUAUGGAAAUUACAAUAGUGCCUAUGGUGGUGAUCAAAACUAUAGUGGCUAUGGCGGCUAUGAUUAUACUGGGUAUAACUAUGGGAACUAUGGAUAUGGACAGGGAUAUGCAGACUACAGUGGCCAGCAGAGCACUUACGGCAAGGCAUCUCGAGGGGGUGGCAAUCACCAAAACAAUUACCAGCCAUACUAAAGGAGGACAUUGGAGAAAACAGCGGGAACUUCAUUGCAGGCCGUGUGUCACCCUGACCACGUCUAUCUCUGGGGGUCGCACGUUGCGGGCAGAGCGCAAGGCAUACACCAGAAAACGCUGUCCUGUGGAGGAAAUUGCUAAAGUUAACCCAUCUUGCAGGACGACAUUGAAGAUUGGUCUUCUGUUGAUCUAAGAUGAUUAUUUUGUAAAAGACUUUCUAGUGUACAAGACACAACUGUGUCCAACUGUAUAUAGCCGCCAAUUAGUUUUCUUUGUUUUUACUUUGUCUUUUGCUAUCUGUGUUAUGACUCGAUGUGGAUUUGUGUUUAUACAAAUUUUAUUUGUAUGAUUUCAUGUUAAACCUCAAAUAAAUGCUUCCUUAUGUGAUUGUU